rnacentral:rRNA from 1 species
GAUGAACGCUGGCGGCGUGCCUAUACAUGCAAGUCGAGCGAAUGGAUUAAGAGCUUGCUCUUAUGAAGUUAGCGGCGGACGGGUGAGUAACACGUGGGUAACCUGCCCAUAAGACUGGGAUAACUCCGGGAAACCGGGGCUAAUACCGGAUAACAUUUUGAACCGCAUGGUUCGAAAUUGAAAGGCGGCUUCGGCUGUCACUUAUGGAUGGACCCGCGUCGCAUUAGCUAGUUGGUGAGGUAACGGCUCACCAAGGCAACGAUGCGUAGCCGACCUGAGAGGGUGAUCGGCCACACUGGGACUGAGACACGGCCCAGACUCCUACGGGAGGCAGCAGUAGGGAAUCUUCCGCAAUGGACGAAAGUUUGACGGAGCAACGCCGCGUGAGUGAUGAAGGCUUUCGGGUCGUAAAACUCUGUUGUUAGGGAAGAACAAGUGCUAGUUGAAUAAGCUGGCACCUUGACGGUACCUAACCAGAAAGCCACGGCUAACUACGUGCCAGCAGCCGCAGUAA